UACGAAGGGGGCGAGCGUUGUUCGGAUUUACUGGGCGUAAAGGGCGCGCAGGCGGUCAUUUUUUGUCGAGUGUGAAAGCCCCGGGCUUAACCUGGGAACUGCGCUCGAAACGGGAUGACUAGAGAUCGGGAGAGGAGAGUGGAAUUCCCAGUGUAGAGGUGAAAUUCGUAGAUAUUGGGAAGAACUCCGGUGGCGAAGGCGAGGCGCUGGACCCUUUCUGACGCUGAGGCGCGAAAGCCAGGGGAGCAAACGGG
rnacentral:rRNA from 1 species